rnacentral:rRNA from 1 species
GUGGGGAAUAUUGGGCAAUGGGCGAAAGCCUGACCCAGCAACGCCGCGUGAAGGAAGAAGGUCUUCGGAUCGUAAACUUCUAUCCUUGGUGAAGAUAAUGACGGUAGCCGAGAAGGAAGCCCCGGCUAACUACGUGCCAGCAGCCGCGGUAAUACUUAGGGGGCAAGCGUUGUCCGGAAUGAUUGGGCGUAAAGGGCGCGUAGGCGGCCUGGUAAGUCUGGAGUGAAAGUCCUGCUUUUAAGGUGGGAAUUGCUUUGGAUACUGUCGGGCUUGAGUGCAGGAGAGGUAAGUGGAAUUCCCGGUGUAGCGGUGAAAUGCGUAGAGAUCGGGAGGAACACCAGUGGCGAAGGCGACUUACUGGACUGUAACUGACGCUGAGGCGCGAAAGUGUGGGGAGCAAACAGGAUUAGAAACCCUAGUAGUCC